GACGAACGAUGGAGGGGGGAGGAACACAUGCAAGUCGAACGGAAAGGCACUGAUAGCAGGGUCCUAGAGUGGGGAAGGGGCGAGUAACACGGGGGUGAUCUGGAAUGCACUUCGGGAUGAGCCUGGGAAACUGGGUACAAUACCGGAUAGGAGAUAUGAUUAGUGUGAUGGUGGGAAAGUUUUUUCGGUGUUGGACGAGUUCGCGGCCUAACAGCUUGUUGGUGGGGUAAUGGCCUACAAGGGCGGCGACGGGUAGCCGGCCUGUGAGGGUGGACGGCCGCAUUGGGUCUGAGGGGCGGCACAGACUGCUACGGUAGGCAGCAGUGGGGAAUAUUGCACAAUGGGCGCAAGCCUGAUGCAGCAACGCCGCGUGUGGUAUAACGGCCUUCUGGUUGUAGACACCUUUCACUAGGGACGAAGCUUUUUGUGACGGUACCUAAAUAAGAAGCACCGGCUAACUACGUG
rnacentral:rRNA from 1 species